rnacentral:lncRNA from 1 species
UCCAACGCGGGCAGAUGCUCUAACACCCUUUCCCUGGAUGCCGUCCAAAGAAUUUUGAGGGGGUUAGAGCUUAGAGAGAGAGUGUACUGGGCGUAUCCUUCUGAGAAUACCGGUGAUGUGCCCCCUUAUUUUAUGUUGGCACUUCACCGUAUCUAUUUCACUAACUUUCCGAUCCUUCCGAUCCCUUCUCUAGUUAGUGAAAUCCUUUUGUAUUCUGGACUAUGUAUUUCUCAGAUGGGUGCCGCCUUUUUCUUUUAUG